rnacentral:rRNA from 1 species
GUCGAGAAUCAUUCACAAUGGGGGAAACCCUGAUGGUGUGACGCCGCGUGGAGGAUGAAGGUCUUCGGAUUGUAAACUCCUGUCAUGUGGGAGUAAAGCCGGGUGUUAAAUGCAUGCCGGUCUGAGAGUACCACAAGAGGAAGGGACGGCUAACUCUGUGCCAGCAGCCGCGGUAAUACAGAGGUCCCAAGCGUUGUUCGGAAUCACUGGGCGUAAAGGGUGCGUAGGCGGCGCGGAAAGUCAGGGGUGAAAUCCCGGAGCUCAACUCCGGAACUGCCUUUGAUACUCCCGCGCUUGAGAACUGGAGGGGAGACCGGAAUUCACGGUGGAGCAGUGAAAUGCGUGGAUAUCGUGAGGAACACUAGUGGCGAAGGCGGGUCUCUGGACAGUAUCUGACGCUGAGGCACGAAGGCCAGGGGAGCGAACGGGAUUAGAUACCCCAGUAGUCC